GCCCGGAUGGCGAAACUGGUAGACGCAAGGGAUUUAAAAUCCCUCACCUGUAUGGGUAUGCGGGUUCGAUCCCCGCUCCGGGCA
rnacentral:tRNA from 1 species